rnacentral:rRNA from 1 species
GAUGAACGCUGGCGGCCUGCCUAAUACAUGCAAGUCGAGCGAACGGACGAGAAGCUUGCUUCUCUGAUGUUAGCGGCGGACGGGUGAGUAACACGUGGAUAACCUACCUAUAAGACUGGGAUAACUUCGGGAAACCGGAGCUAAUACCGGAUAAUAUUUUGAACCGCAUGGUUCAAAAGUGAAAGACGGUCUUGCUGUCACUUAUAGAUGGAUCCGCGCUGCAUUAGCUAGUUGGUAAGGUAACGGCUUACCAAGGCAACGAUGCAUAGCCGACCUGAGAGGGUGAUCGGCCACACUGGAACUGAGACACGGUCCAGACUCCUACGGGAGGCAGCAGUAGGGAAUCUUCCGCAAUGGGCGAAAGCCUGACGGAGCAACGCCGCGUGAGUGAUGAAGGUCUUCGGAUCGUAAAACUCUGUUAUUAGGGAAGAACAUAUGUGUAAGUAACUGUGCACAUCUUGACGGUACCUAAUCAGAAAGCCACGGCUAACUACGUG